rnacentral:rRNA from 1 species
CUAAGAAUAUUCCGCAAUGGACGAAAGUCUGACGGAGCGACGCCGCGUGGAUGAAGAAGGCCGAAAGGUUGUAAAAUCCUUUUGCUGAGGAAGAAUAAGUGUGGGAGGGAAUGCCCGCAUGAUGACAUGAAUCGGCGAAUAAGCCCCGGCCAACUACGUGCCAGCAGCCGCGGUAACACGUAGGGGGCGAGCGGUGUUCGGAAUUACUGGGCGUAAAGGGCAUGUAGGCGGUUAUGUAAGCCUGGCGUGAAAGUCCACAGCUUAACUGGGGUAUUG